UUCAAUGGUCGGGCCUUGGUGGGGGUGCGCUUGCGCACGCCGGUAUCCAGAGACGCCGGUACGCCAACCCUGCCUUGUGCUCGGCCACCCCG
rnacentral:antisense_RNA from 1 species